rnacentral:rRNA from 1 species
GACGAACGCUGGCGGCGUGCUUAACACAUGCAAGUCGAACGGAAAGGCCUCUUUCGGGGGGUACUCGAGUGGCGAACGGGUGAGUAACACGUGAGUAACCUGCCCUUGACUUUGGGAUAACUUCAGGAAACUGGGGCUAAUACCGGAUAGGAGCUCCUGCUUCAUGGUGGGGGUUGGAAAGUUUCGGCGGUUGGGGAUGGACUCGCGGCUUAUCAGCUUGUUGGUGGGGUAGUGGCUUACCAAGGCUUUGACGGGUAGCCGGCCUGAGAGGGUGACCGGCCACAUUGGGACUGAGAUACGGCCCAGACGCCUACGGGAGGCAGCAGUGGGGAAUAUUGCACAAUGGGUGGAAGCCUGAUGCAGCAACGCCGUGUGCGGGAUGACGGCCUUCGGGUUGUAAACCGCUUUCGCUCAUGACGAAGCUUUGUGUGACGGUAGUGGGUAAAGAAGCACCGGCUAACUACGUG